CAUAAAAAAGACCACAAUUUUGUAUUGUUUAUUCUUGAUCGUUCGUUUUGUUUUUUAGAAAAUAUGGUUAGUAUUUUUGUUGCUAUUAUAUAAUAAAACAUGAAUAAUAUUUUAUGUGUGACUAAUUUUUUAAUUCUUUCAUAAAAUUUUUAAAUAAGACGAACGUAAGACGAACGGUCAAACUUUAGACACGGAAUCUCACAACUGCACUUAAA
rfam:Oryza rufipogon genomic scaffold, chr03